rnacentral:rRNA from 1 species
GACGAACGCUGGCGGCGUGCUUAACACAUGCAAGUCGAGCGAUGAAGUCUCUUCGGAAAUGGAUUAGCGGCGAACGGGUGAGUAACACGUGAGGAAUCUGCCCUUCACUUUGGAAUAACUCCGGGAAACCGGAGCUAAUACCGGAUACGAACUCUGGCGGCAUCGCCGGGGUUGGAAAGUUUUUCGGUGAAGGAUGACCUCGCGGCCUAUCAGCUUGCUGGUGAGGUAAUGGCUCACCAAGGCGACGACGGGUAGCCGGCCUGAGAGGGCGACCGGCCACACUGGGACUGAGACACGGCCCAGACUCCUACGGGAGGCAGCAGUGGGGAAUAUUGGGCAAUGGGCGAAAGCCUGACCCAGCGACGCCGCGUGCGGGAUGAAGGCCUUCGGGUUGUAAACCGCUUUCAGCAGGGAAGAAGCGAAAGUGACGGUACCUGAAGAAGAAGCACCGGCUAACUAUGUGCCAGCCGCCGCUGUAA